rnacentral:lncRNA from 1 species
CUCGCUGCACAAAAAAGAGAAAUUACAUUUCUUGGCAAUAAAUGUUUUCUCUGGUAGUUUCACUUCUGCUUCACUUCAGAUUGGUUUCCUCUGUUUCUUUCCAUCGGUCCAGCCCACCUCCUCAGCCUUAGCCUGCCAUCAUUGCUGAGCUCAGGCUCUACCUUGCAGCCUCAUCAACAUCACUACUUACAGCAUGGACAAAGGACAUAGGACAAUGCUGUAUGUAAGCUUGAUAACUGGCAGUCUUCUGGUUAUCCUGCUUGUCAUUUGCUUCCUGUGCUGGCGACGAAGUACGUGGACCACCAUGAGAAUGCUAUAUCAUAGGAGUAUAACAACUGCAUCACUUUUAAUAACCAUAUGUGUUUUGCAUUAGCUCUUUUCAUGAA